rnacentral:pre_miRNA from 1 species
UAGUGAUGAUGAUGAUGAUGAUGAUGAUGAUGAUGAUGAUCAUCAUCAUCAUCAUCUUCAUCGUCAUCGUCAUCGUCAUCAUCAUCAUCAUCAUCA